rnacentral:tRNA from 1 species
GCGGGCGUGGCGAAAUUGGCAGACGCAUGGGAUUUAGGUUCCCAUGGGGUAACACCCGUGCAGGUUCAAGUCCUGUCGCCCGCA